AAUAAGAUGACUGAAAAUAAGUAAUAGACUGUAAAUCUAAUCAAGGCUAAAGCCUCUUAUUU
rnacentral:tRNA from 1 species